GCCAGACUCCUACGGGAGGCAGCAGUGAGGAAUAUUGGUCAAUGGGCGGGAGCCUGAACCAGCCAAGUCGCGUGAGGGAUGACGGCCCUAUGGGUUGUAAACCUCUUUUGCCGGGGAGCAAGGGCGGGGACGUGUCCCGGCCCGGAGAGUACCCGGAGAAAAAGCAUCGGCUAACUCCGUGCCAGCAGCCGCGGUAAUACGGAGGAUGCGAGCGUUAUCCGGAUUUAUUGGGUUUAAAGGGUGCGUAGGCGGGCUUUUAAGUCAGCGGUAAAAUCGCGGGGCUCAACCUCGCUCCGCCGUCGAAACUGGCGUUCUUGAGUGGGCGAGAAGUAUGCGGAAUGCGUGGUGUAGCGGUGAAAUGCAUAGAUAUCACGCAGAACUCCGAUUGCGAAGGCAGCAUACCGGCGCCCAACUGACGCUGAAGCACGAAAGCGUGGGUAUCGAACAGGAUUAGAUACCCGAGUAC
rnacentral:rRNA from 1 species